ACAUGCCUACAACAUAACAUUAAUGCACUAGAUCCGAUUAGAACUCCCCAGUUAAGUGCACUUAGGCUAGAGUAGUACUAGGAUGGGUGACUGCGCGGGAAGUCCUAGUAUUUUACAUGCC
rnacentral:rRNA from 1 species